ACGAACGCUGGCGGCGUGCUUUACACAUGCAAGUCGAACGGAAAGGCCCUGCUUUUGUGGGGUGCUCGAGUGGCGAACGGGUGAGUAACACGUGAGUAACCUGCCCUUGACUUUGGGAUAACUUCAGGAAACUGGGGCUAAUACCGGAUAGGAGCUCCUGCUGCAUGGUGGGGGUUGGAAAGUUUCGGCGGUUGGGGAUGGACUCGCGGCUUAUCAGCUUGUUGGUGGGGUAGUGGCUUACCAAGGCUUUGACGGGUAGCCGGCCUGAGAGGGGGACCGGCCACAUUGGGACUGAGAUACGGCCCAGACUCCUACGGGAGGCAGCAGUGGGGAAUAUUGCACAAUGGGCGGAAGCCUGAUGCAGCAACGCCGCGUGCGGGAUGACGGCCUUCGGGUUGUAAACCGCUUUCGCCUGUGACGAAGCGUGAGUGACGGUAAUGGGUAAAGAAGCACCGGCUAACUACGUG
rnacentral:rRNA from 1 species